rnacentral:rRNA from 1 species
UACAGAGGGUGCGAGCGUUAAUCGGAAUUACUGGGCGUAAAGCGUGCGUAGACGGUUAUGUAAGUCAGGUGUGAAAGCCCCGGGCUCAACCUGGGAAUUGCAUUUGAGACUGCAUAGCUAGGGUGCGGAAGAGGGAAGCGGAAUUUCCGGUGUAGCGGUGAAAUGCGUAGAUAUCGGAAGGAACAUCAGUGGCGAAAGCGGUUUCCUGGUCCAGCACCGACGUUCAGGCACGAAAGCGUGGGGAGCAAACAGG